CUCCUAGGGCCUGCCUCCUCCGCCCGCCCAGUCCCCGGGGGCUGGGUUCAGAAAAGCGCCCCUCGUGGGAUCCUAGACAGAUGGACGCAGAGAGAAGAGAUCCCACGAUCCACAGUCGCUUCGAGACCCACAGCGAGAGGGAGGAAGCCGCUGAGCGGGGAGGGAGCCGGCCGUGGAGCCCAGGGGAGGCUGACCCUGACCCUGAGCUCGGGGCUGCCUACCCGAACUUCAACGCCUGUCUUCCAAUUCUUUGUUUUAAAAAAAAUGCCACAACUGGGGAGGCUGGGACUGGGGAAACCAUGCAGAGGAGUGAGGGUCCAGAAGCUCAGUGGUGUCCGAUGCUUUGUGAUCGCAUGGACUGCAGCACACCAGGCCUCCCUGUCCAUCACCAACUCCCAAAGUUUUACUCAGACUCAUGUCCAUCAAGUCAGUGAUGCCAUCCAACCAUUUCAUCCUCUGUCGUCCCCAUCUCCUCCAAGGAAGUCCCUCAAUUAUUAUACUUCAACUGCAGUCAACGCAGAGCUGGAUAAAGAAGCAGAGGACUGGAGACUGUGAACCCCUUGAAGGCAGAUCUCUCUCUCUCCUAUUUGAAAUCUUUAUUGAGAUAAUUGCAAAUUCACACACAAAAAGCUACUAACAAUAAUACAAAGACAUUCCUUGUACACUUUUCCCAUUUUUUCCCAAAGGUAACAUUUGCAAAGCUAUAGUACAGUAUCACAACCAGGAUAUUGACUCUGAUACACUCCACAGAUCUUAUUCAGCUUUUCCAUUUUACGUGUGCCUGUGUGAGUGUUUAGUCUUAUACAGUUUUAUCACCUGUGUAUGUUUGAGCCGUCACAAUCCAGAUUCUUAAGUUACGACAGGGAACAAGGAUCCCUGUGUUGCCCUUUUAUAACCAUCCCUGCCCGCUGUUCCUGGCAGGCACUAUUCUGUGAGUCAUUUCUAAGG
ensembl:lncRNA